CAAGCAGUUUCUUUUAACUUAACUCCCCUUCACCACCCUCUGACACUUCUUACUCCUGGAGACCGCUGAUUGUUAUCUAUUCCUAUUUCUUUUUUCCAGAAUGUUCUAUAAAUGGAAUAAUAUAAAACUUUUUGGAGUCAGUUUCCUUGACUUAGCACAAUGCCUUUGAGAUUCAUAUAUGCUAUUGCAUUUAUCAAUAGUUCAUUUCUUUUUAUUGCUGAGUAGUAUCCCAUUGCAUGGGGACCAUGGUUUAUCUGUUUAACUAUGGAAAGACAUGAGAGUUGUCUCCAGUUGUCAGUGAUAUAGAUAAUGCAGCUAUAAACAUUCAUGUGUAGGUUUUAUGUGAAGAUAAAAUUUUAUUUCUUCUCUCGUUUUUUUUUUUUUUUUUUUUUUUUUGAACAAGGUCUCACCCUGUCACCCAGGCUGGAGUACAGUGGCAUGAUCUCAGCUCACUGCAGCCUGGACCUCUCAGGCUCAAGCAAUCCUCCCACCUCGGCCUCUUGAGUAGCUGGGACUACAGGUGCAUGCCACCACACCCAGCUACUUUUUUUUCAUCUUUUUUUUUUUUUUUUUGGUAGAGAUGAGGUCUCUCUAUGUUGCCCAGGCUGGUCUCAAACUCCUGAGCUCAAGUGAUCCUCCUGCCUUGGCCUCUCAGAGUGCUGGGAUUACAGCAUGAGUCAGUGCACCUGGCAGUUUUUAUUUCUUUAGUGCAAAAUGUCUCCACCUUGAAUUUAAAGUGGAAUAACCCUUUGUUGUGGGGAAUGUCCUGUGCAUUGCAGGAUGUUUGGCAGCAUCCUUGGAUCUAUCCAUUAGGUACCCGUAACAGCCUCUGAACCAGUUGUGAAAACCAAAAUGUCUCCUCACAUUACCAAAUGUUGGGGGGCAAAAUUGACUUCAGUGAAGACUUCAGUGAAGAAUUCAGUGACUUACUGAAGACUUCAGUAAAAACUCAUAAGCAAGAUCCUGGUCCAUAUGGUAGUAUAUGUUUCACUUUAAAUGAAGCUGCCAAGCUAUUUUUCAGGGCAUCUGUACCAUUUUGCAUUCCCCCAGCUAUGCCUGAGAGCUCCAAUUGUUCUGUAUCUUUGUGAGUACUUGAUAUUAGCAGGUUUCUUAAAUUUUUUGCCAUUCUGUAAUUAGGGAGUCCCUUGAUUUUAAAAUCAGGAACGACACCGUGGCAAAUAUUAGUGCAUGCAGCUCACUAAUAUUUCUAGUUCUGAAAUUCUCCUCACUUGAGAAAGUUUCAUUUCCUGCUCCUUUUAGGUUGCAUGUGACUAUAUGAAUUGGCUUGGCUAGAGUGAAAGUGGGGUGGGUCACUUCAUGGUGGACAUGUGUAGGAGCUGUUGCACACUGCUCCAUCUUCCCUCCCCCAAGCUUUAGCAACCACCUACAGUCCAGAUGGUGGAGAUGUCAUCAGCCAAUGUUGCUGAGUAGAAAUGACAUGGAAGAGAGUACCCUGCCAAACCUCAAAUGGACAUGAGGUCAUUCAUGGGGAUAGAGUAGGCAGGGUGUGUAGAAUCUUCUUCCAUCACAGCAUGAAACUGAGUGAAGACUUCAGACCAUGACAUCUGCAGAUGUUGGGCUUCAGUUGUGGGUUCCUCCAUUUUAUACUCCUUUCUUCCUGCUGGUGGGCAUGAUGGCUGGAGUUGAUGCAGUCAUUUUAGCACAAUGGGGAAAAGACCACGUGAGUACUAGAGGCUUCAUUAUGAAUAACAUUGAACAACUGGAACAACGCUAGCAGCUGCAAAUCCUCAAACUUCUCAUUAUGUGUCAAAAAUAAACUACUUGUAUUAGACAC
rnacentral:lncRNA from 1 species